UAGGAACUCAAGCUUUCAUUAAUUCACAUGGCUACACACUAAUAUCACACGUUCAAGGUGAACUAUUACAAAUGCUAGUUGAUAGGUACAAACUAUAGAAAAUACUAAAUCCAGGUUCAUUACAAAGCUCCCAAUCGUCAAAUCUCCACUUAACUCAGUAAACAAACUAGAUGUUGCGUGAAACAGAACUUGGCACUUGCUGUAGGAGCUGCAUCAGUGGCCAGAAGAUAUCCAGUCUAUGGAAGCUUCCUGAAGCCUCAACAAUGAAGUGAGCCCAGGUGCUCUCUGAACGCUUUUCCAUCACGCCCUUCAAAAUCGUCAGCUCCAAACGGUGAAUAACAUCAGAAAUUUCUAAGAAACGUCCAUGGUCGUCACACAUCAUCUGUUUGAAAUUGAUGUCAGCUCAAAAUUCAUAAUGCAGACAGAUGUCAGUACAGAGAUCUCAGAUUUUAGUUGUGGUGCUAGAGUAGGGAAUUCAUUUAAA
rnacentral:misc_RNA from 1 species